CCGAUCGGUAAGAGUGCGUUACGCAGGU
rnacentral:sRNA from 1 species